rnacentral:rRNA from 1 species
CCCUUAGAUGUCCUGGGCCGCACGCGCGCUACACUGAUGCAUGCAACGAGUUUUACUUCUCCUGGGUCGGGAGGCCCGGGUAAUCUGUUGAACGUGCAUCGUGAUAGGGAUAGAUCAUUGCAAUUAUUGAUCUUGAACGAGGAAUUCCUAGUAAACGCGAGUCAUCAGCUCGCAUUGAUUACGUCCCUGCCCUUUGUACACACCGCCCGUCGCACCUACCGAUUGAAUGAUUCGGUGAAGAUUCCGGACUGUGUCAUCAUCGCUUCACGGCGGUCUUGACGUGGGAAGUUAUCUAAACCUCAUCAUUUAGAGGAAGGUGAAGUCGUAACA